rnacentral:rRNA from 1 species
AACGUAGGAGGCGAGCGUUAUCCGGAGUUACUGGGCGUAAAGGGUGCGUAGGCGGGUCUUUAAGUCAGGGGUGAAAUCCUGGAGCUCAACUCCAGAACUGCCUUUGAUACUGAAGAUCUUGAGUUCGGGAGAGGUGAGUGGAACUGCGAGUGUAGAGGUGAAAUUCGUAGAUAUUCGCAAGAACACCAGUGGCGAAGGCGGCUCACUGGCCCGAUACUGACGCUGAGGCACGAAAGCGUGGGGAGCAAACAGG